rnacentral:rRNA from 1 species
GACGAACGCUGGCGGCGUGCUUAACACAUGCAAGUCGAACGGAAAGGCCUUUUCGGAGGUACUCGAGUGGCGAACGGGUGAGUAACACGUGGGUGAUCUGCCCUGCACUCUGGGAUAAGCCUGGGAAACUGGGUCCAAUACCGGAUAGGACCGCACUUUAGUGUGUGUGGUGGAAAGUUUUUUCGGUGUAGGAUGAGCCCGCGGCCUAUCAGCUUGUUGGUGGGGUAAUGGCCUACCAAGGCGGCGACGGGUAGCCGGACUGAGAGGUUGGUCGGCCACAUUGGGACUGAGAUACGGCCCAGACUCCUACGGGAGGCAGCAGUGGGGAAUAUUGCACAAUGGGCGCAAGCCUGAUGCAGCGACGCCGCGUGGGGGAUGACGGCCUUCGGGUUGUAAACUCCUUUCGCCAGGGACGAAGCGUUUUGUGACGGUACCUGGAGAAGAAGCACCGGCUAACUACGUG